UAAGGCAUAAUCAAUUAUGUGCAGGGAGAGAGCAUGCAGGUCAGUGGAGAAAGCACGGAUAAGGUUGCAGCGAAAAAAGAUCUAGUUCGUGAACUUUCUUUAUCCAUCGGCAACUUCUUCUCCGAUGACGACAGCUUCUUCUUCUUUCUUUCCUAGGGCGGGAUCGUUGUUGAGUUGCUCUUCGAAAACUCUCUCCGCUUUCUCCUCGUUCAACACGUUCUCUGUUUUUGUCGCCGGCAGUGAGAGCAAGGCGGCGAUGACGAGCGUGUGGUGAAACUGCAUGAAGAACACAACCACGGCGAUGAACUCCACCUAGAUCUGAGAUCCGCUCCUCCCUGUGCUUUUUUUCAGGUGGAUCUCCUCCGCCGACGUCUCCAACACUAUCUACGGGUGGAUCUUCAAGUUUUUGAUUUUGUAGAUCUGGAGGAACUCAAAUCUAUAAGUCUUCGUUUUGUAGAUCUACAAAAAAUCAAAUCUACAAAUUUUUGCAAUGCUCCGAUCUCACAACGACUUUGAAGACAGAUCUUAAAAACCCAGUUCUUCGAAGACACAUCUUCAAAACAUAUUUUUUCAGUAUAAGCAUGCGGUUAUGCUUUUCAUUUUUUUUUUUAAAUGUCUUAUGUUUGCUCUAUAAUAUAAUCGUUUUGUGAGAACAACAAAUACUUGAAGUGAGUUUCUUGUUUACAACUAUACAAUAAUGGUAGCUUUUGUGUUUAUUCUUCUUUUUGUUCAAACAUAAUGAUUCUUGUUUUCA